GCCCAGACGAUCCACGGUGGUCCGGGGUGCGGGCUUCAAACCCGUAGCUGACUGACGUCAGAGUGGUUCGAUUCCACCUUCUGGGC
rnacentral:tRNA from 1 species